CCUACGGGAGGCAGCAGGAGGGAAUAUUGCUCAAUGGGGGAAACCCGGAAGCAGCAAAGCCGCGGGGAGGAUGAAGGUUUUCGGAGGGGAAACCCCUUUUGGUAGAGAAGAGAAGGACGGUACCUAACGAAUAAGCACCGGCUAACUCCGUGCCAGCAGCCGCGGUAAUACGGAGGGGGCAAGCGUUACUCGGAAUCACUGGGCGUAAAGAGCGCGUAGGCGGGAUAGCAAGGCAGAUGUGAAAUCCUAUGGCUUAACCCUAGAACUGCAUUUGAAACUGUUAUUCUAGAGUAUGGGAGAGGUAGGUGGAAUUCUUGGUGUAGGGGUGAAAUCCGUAGAGAUCACGAGGAAUACUCAUUGCGAAGGCGACCUGCUAGAACAUAACUGACGCUGAUGCGCGAAAGCGUGGGGAGCAAACAGGAUUAGAUACCCUGGUAGUC
rnacentral:rRNA from 1 species